rnacentral:rRNA from 1 species
UACGUAGGGUGCGAGCGUUGUUCGGAAUUACUGGGCGUAAAGGGCGUGUAGGUGGCCAACUAAGUCAGACGUGAAAUCCCUCGGCUUAACCGGGGAACUGCGUCUGAUACUGGAUGGCUUGAGUGUGGGAGAGGGAUGCGGAAUUCCAGGUGUAGCGGUGAAAUGCGUAGAUAUCUGGAGGAACACCGGUGGCGAAGGCGGCAUCCUGGACCAUUACUGACACUGAAACGCGAAAGCCAGGGGAGCAAACGGG